rnacentral:hammerhead_ribozyme from 1 species
AUCUACCUGAUGAGUCCCAAAUAGAACGAAGUGCGCGUUAACCUGGAU